rnacentral:snRNA from 1 species
GUGCAGCACAUAUACUAAAAUUGGAAUGAUACAGAGAAGAUUAACACAGCCCCUUCACAAGGAUGACGCACAAAUUCGUGAAGCAUUCCAUAUUAAA